CAGUAGCCGCGGUAAUACGUAGGUCCCGAGCGUUGUCCGGAUUUAUUGGGCGUAAAGCGAGCGCAGGCGGUUAGAAAAGUCUGAAGUGAAAGGCAGCGGCUCAACCAUUGUAGGCUUUGGAAACUGUUUAACUUGAGUGCAGAAGGGGAGAGUGGAAUUCCAUGUGUAGCGGUGAAAUGCGUAGAUAUAUGGAGGAACACCGGUGGCGAAAGCGGCUCUCUGGUCUGUAACUGACGCUGAGGCUCGAAAGCGUGGGGAGCGAACAGGAUUAGAUACCCCUGUAGUCCCUGUCUCUUAUACA
rnacentral:rRNA from 1 species